UUUAAAUGUAGUCAUGAGUUUUCGUGUUCAACUUUGAUCGACCGUCUUAUUUAAAUUUUUUUAUUAGAUGAUAAAACAUGAAUAAUACUUUAUGAGUGACCUAUGUUUUUGAUUUUUUUAAAAAAAACUUAAAUUGACGAAUAAUUAAAUUUGGAUAUAGAAACUUAUGUCUGUGUUUAAA
rnacentral:pre_miRNA from 1 species